rnacentral:rRNA from 1 species
UGCCAGCAGCCGCGGUAAUACGGAAGCCUCAAGCGUUACCCGGAUUCACUGGGCGUAAAGGGUUCGUAGGCGGUUAUAUUAGUCGGGUGUUAAAUCCUGGGGCUCAACCUCAGGCUCGCAUUCGAAACGGUAUAACUAGAAGAAGUGAGAGGUGAACAGAACUCAUGGUGUAGGGGUGAAAUCCGUUGAUAUCAUGGGGAAUACCAAAUGCGAAGGCAGUUCACUGGCACUUUCUUGACGCUGAGGAACGAAAGCUAGGAUAGCGAACGGGAUUAGAUA